rnacentral:rRNA from 1 species
GGUCAAGCUACAAAGGGCGCAUGGUGAAUGCCUUGGCAUCAGGAGCCGAUGAAGGACGUGAUAAGCUGCGAUAAGCUUCGGGUAGGCGCACAUAGCCUGAGAUCCGAAGAUCUCCGAAUGAGGAAACUCACAUGGGAAACCCCAUGUAUCAUUAAGUGAAUACAUAACUUAAUGAAGGUAACCCAGGGAACUGAAACAUCUAAGUACCUGGAGGAAGAGAAAGAAAAAUCGAUUUUCUUAGUAGCGGCGAGCGAAAGGGAAAGAGCCCAAACCGGAAACUUGUUUCCGGGGUUGAGGACAUAACAUAAAGAGAAGUAAUGGCUAAUUGAAGAGAACUGGAAAGUUCCACCGUAGAAGGUAAUAGUCCUGUAAAUGAAAGCUAGUAUAAUCGAGUUAUGAUCCAGAGUACCACGAGACACGUGAAACCUUGUGGGAAGCAGGGAGGACCACCUCCCAAGGCUAAAUACUACCUGAUGACCGAUAGUGAAGCAGUACCGUGAGGGAAAGGUGAAAAGAACCCCAGGAGGGGAGUGAAAUAGAACCUGAAACCGUGUGCCUACAACCGCUCAGAGCCCCUUAUGAGGGUGAUGAGGUGCUUUUUGUAGAACGAGCCAACGAGUUACGGUAUGUAGCAAGGUUAAGUACUUAAGGUACGGAGCCGAAGGGAAACCGAGUCUGAAUAGGGCGACUAGUUGCAUGCCGUAGACCCGAAACCGGGUGACCUAUCCAUGGCCAGGUUGAAGCGAGGGUAAAACCUCGUGGAGGACCGAACCACGUUGCUGUUGAAAAAGCAUGGGAUGAGCUGUGGAUAGCGGAGAAAUUCCAAUCGAACCCGGAGAUAGCUGGUUCUCUCCGAAAUAGCUUUAGGGCUAGCGUCGAGUAUGAGUAGUGGAGGUAGAGCACUGAAUGGGCUAGGGGCAUAGCGCUUACCGAACCUUAUCAAACUCCGAAUGCCACAUACUUUGAGCUCGGCAGUCAGACUACGAAUGAUAAGAUCCGUGGUCAAAAGGGAAACAGCCCAGAUCGUCAGCUAAGGUCCCAAAGUGUAAGUUAAGUGGGAAAGGAUGUGAGAUUUCUAAGACAACUAGGAUGUUGGCUUAGAAGCAGCCAUUCAUUAAAAGAGUGCGUAAUAGCUCACUAGUCGAGAGAUCUUGCGCCGAAAAUGUAACGGGGCUAAACUUACCACCGAAGCUACGGGCUUGAACUUAGUUCAAGCGGUAGGAGAGCGUCGUAACCGGGCUGAAGUCGUACCGUAAGGAGCGGUGGACUGGUUACGAGUGAGAAUGUUGGCAUCAGUAGCGAGAUGUGGGUGAGAAUCCCAGGUACCGAAAACCUAAGGUUUCCUCAGGAAGGUUCGUCCGCUGAGGGUUAGUCGGGACCUAAGCCGAGAAAAAGGCGUAGGUGAUGGACAACUGGUUGAUAUUCCAGUACCACUACCAUCGUUAUUAUCGAUGGCGUGACGCAGGAGGAUAGUGUGUGCUAGCUAUUGGAUGCUAGUCUAAGCGUUUAGGCAGUGAGAGUAGGCAAAUCCGCUCUCAUAAUGCUGAGGCGUGAUGGGGAAGGUUCCACGGAACCGAAGUACAUGAUUCCACGCUGCCAAGAAAAGCGUCUAGAGAGAGAAGUAGUGCCCGUACCGCAAACCGACACAGGUAGGUGAGGAGAGAAUCCUAAAGUAGGCGGAAGAAUUACAGUUAAGGAACUCGGCAAAUUGACCCCGUAAGUUCGCGAGAAGGGGUGCCUACGAGAGUAGUACUGCAGAGAAUAAGUACAAGCAACUGUUUAGCAAAAACACAGGUCUCUGCUAAAGCGUAAGCUGAUGUAUAGGGGCUGACGCCUGCCCGGUGCUGGAAGGUUAAGGGGAACACUUAGCGCAAGCGAAGGUGUGAACUUAAGCCCCAGUAAACGGCGGCCGUAACUAUAACGGUCCUAAGGUAGCGAAAUUCCUUGUCAGGUAAGUUCUGACCCGCACGAAUGGCGUAAUGACUUGGGCACUGUCUCAACUGUAAAUCCGGCGAAGUUGUAGUGCGAGUGAAGAUGCUCGCUACCCGCGAUUGGACGGAAAGACCCCGUAGAGCUUUACUGUAGCUUAGCAUUGAGUUUUGGUAUUGUCUGUACAGGAUAGGUGGGAGACUAGGAAACCAGGGCGUCAGCCUUGGUGGAGUCAACCUUGGGAUACCACCCUGACAGUACUGAAAUUCUAACUGGCGGCCAUGAAUCUGGUCACAGGACAUUGUUAGGUGGGCAGUUUGACUGGGGCGGUCGCCUCCUAAAAAGUAACGGAGGCGCCCAAAGGUUCCCUCAGAACGGUCGGAAAUCGUUCGAAGAGUGCAAAGGCAGAAGGGAGCCUGACUGCGACACCCACAAGUGGAGCAGGGACGAAAGUCGGGCUUAGUGAUCCGGUGGUACCUCGUGGGAGGGCCAUCGCUCAACGGAUAAAAGCUACCUCGGGGAUAACAGGCUGAUCUCCCCCAAGAGUCCACAUCGACGGGGAGGUUUGGCACCUCGAUGUCGGCUCGUCGCAUCCUGGGGCUGAAGUAGGUCCCAAGGGUUGGGCUGUUCGCCCAUUAAAGCGGCACGCGAGCUGGGUUCAGAACGUCGUGAGACAGUUCGGUCCCUAUCCGUCGCGGGCGUAGGAAAUUUGAGAGGAGCUGUCCUUAGUACGAGAGGACCGGGAUGGACUGACCUCUGGUGUACCAGUUGUUCCGCCAGGAGCACAGCUGGGUAGCUAAGUCGGGAAUGGAUAAACGCUGAAAGCAUCUAAGCGUGAAGCCAACCUCAAGAUGAGAUUUCCCAUAGCGUAAGCUAGUAAGAUCCCUUGAAGAACACAAGGUUGAUAGGUCGGGGGUGUAAGCAUGGUAACAUGUUCAGCUGACCGAUACUAAUAGAUCGAGGGCUUGACCAA